rnacentral:rRNA from 1 species
CCUACGGGAGGCAGCAGUGAGGAAUAUUGGUCAAUGGACGAGAGUCUGAACCAGCCAAGUAGCGUGAAGGAUGACUGCCCUAUGGGUUGUAAACUUCUUUUAUAUGGGAAUAAAAUGUUCCACGUGUGGGAUUUUGUAUGUACCAUAUGAAUAAGGAUCGGCUAACUCCGUGCCAGCAGCCGCGGUAAUACGGAGGAUCCGAGCGUUAUCCGGAUUUAUUGGGUUUAAAGGGAGCGUAGGUGGAUUUUUAAGUCAGUUGUGAAAGUUUGCGGCUCAACCGUAAAAUUGCAGUUGAAACUGGCAGUCGUGAGUACAGUAGAGGUGGGCGGAAUGCGUGGUGUAGCGGUGAAAUGCUUAGAUAUCACGAAGAACUCCGAUUGCGAAGGCAGCUCACUGGACUGCAACUGACACUGAGGCUCGAAAGUGUGGGUAUCAAACAGGAUUAGAUACCCUUGUAGUC